CUCGCGUCCUCCUGCCCAUAUUUCACCCGUGACGUGGCAGUGUGCGACUGGGUUUUGGAGACGAAAAAAAUGAAGGGACUGUUGUUGUUUUUUGCCGGGGGGAGCGGGGAGGUAUUCAAUGAAAUGCAUUUUAAUUAUUUUGUUUUAACUCAGCAAGGAGGAAUGAAAUUCCAGCCAGGCCAGGAAAAUUCUGCCUAUAUUAAUCCUGCUACACAUUCCUGUGCUGCUGCCAGGCAAUAGAAGGACACCAACAAAAGCAUUCUGAAAAACCUUUUACCUACUUUGAUGGCAAGAUGAUCAAAGAGCUCCUUGUCCGUCCCCCCCACCUUCCUAUAAGAUAUCUUCAUAGUUAAGCAACAAAAUUAGUUUCAAAGAAGGACUGUGCCCAAGAACUAUUCCAUGCAUGCAUUUUGCCGUGUACACAUGCAUACAUGCGCAUGUGUUUUGCAUGAAGGAUUAAUGCCUGAUCACUAUUUUCUUUUACAUUUUCUUUUCAUUAAAAUAAACAUAUAAAACCAUCAAUAAAA